UAAAGUCACUCAGCCAACUAAAAAGAUUGCAUGCACUCUUUCUCGGUUCUAAUAACUUCAUGAUAGAUCAGGUAGAGCUCAAUUCGUUGUUGGGAUUAAGAGAACUCCGGGCACUGGACCUGUCAAAUAAUAGGCUGUCAGUAAUAGAGGUGACAGAUGGACAAGGAGUUUCAGUUCCUUCUGUAUCUCGACUUCAAGUUUUGGACCUAGCAUCCUGCAACCUAACUAAAAUUCCAGAUUUUCUACAGUUUCUGCACCAUGUCGGUUACUUGGAUAUUUCUAAUAACCAUAUUUCCGGCAGUAUACCUAAGUGGAUAUGGGACAAUUGGAGUAAUACACUUCUCUAUCUGAACUUGUCAAACAACAAUUUUUCUAGCAUGGAACUAUCUUCGCCUUUUCUUCCAAAAGCCCUACAAAUUAUUGAUCUUAGCUCCAAUAGACUCCAGGGAAAGGUCCCUAUUCCACUGAAGCCAACAAACCUACAGUUCUUGGACUACUCAAAUAACAGAUUCUCAUCAAUCUUAAAAAACUGCACCUCAUGCCUUGGAAAAACUUUCUACCUUAAGAUGGCAAAUAAUAGAAUAAGAGGAGAGAUCCCACACUUCAUUUGCAACGCGAGCAAGCUUGUAAUUCUUGAUUUAUCUAAUAACAGUUUCAGUGGAACGAUUCCAUCAUGUCUAAUACAAGGUGGCCAUCUCAGCAUAUUGAAUUUGAGGGACAAUCACCUCGAAGGAAGACUAGCAUCUAGGGUUGACAAGAGAUGCGCUCUUCAGACAAUAAAUUUGGGUGGAAAUAGGAUUGGAGGUCAACUUCCCUGGUCACUUUCUAACUGCAAGGAUUUGGAGUUUCUCGAUCUGGGUAACAACCAAAUUGUUGACUCUUUUCCACAUUGGUUGGGAAAGCUUCCCAAGCUUCGCAUUCUGGUCUUGAGAUCAAACCAGCUCCAUGGCACAAUAGAAAAUUCUCCAGGAGAUGAUGACUAUGGAGAACACUUUUCAAGUAUGCAAAUAAUUGACGUUGCCUCGAACUAUUUCUCUGGCAAUCUGAGGUCACCAUGGUUUGAAAAUUUACAGUCUAUGAUCAAAAGUUCUGAUUUCGAAGGAGACAUUAUAAAAGCUCAAAACGUGACAGGAUCUUAUCAAGAUAUUGUCACCGUAAUGUUCAAAGGGCAGUACAUGACAUUCGAGAAGAUAUGGACCACUCUUACAAUGAUCGACUUCUCGGAUAAUGCAUUCACUGGUUCCAUUCCUGAAUCAUUUGGAAGACUUGGUCAACUACAUGGACUCAACCUGUCAAAUAACAUGUUGACAGGAGAAAUUCCAGCACAACUAGGUGGUAUGACUGCUCUGGAGUCAAUGGAUCUAUCUUCAAACGAGCUUUCUGGGGAGAUACCAGAGGAGCUGACAGACCUCACUUCUCUAGGUACCUUGAAUUUGUCCAACAACCAAUUCAUCGGAAAAAUACCGGAAUCGCGCCAAUUUGGAACGUUCCAGAACAAUUCGUAUGAAGGGAAUGCAGGACUGUGUGGACCGCCCUUGUCCAAACAGUGUGACAGCCAAGGAGGUGGACCAAUUGGAGUGCUUGCGAGCAAGUCCUCAGAUCAGGUUGAUGUCAUUUUGUUUCUCUUCAUCGGCAUAGGAUAUGGCCUUGGGUUUGCAGCAGGUUUACUAAUCAAAUGGAGUCGCAUAGGCAAGUGGUUCAGGACAACAAACACGUCUUGAUAGUGCGCAAGCAAAGGUUUGUCUGCGGAGUGCAACUAUGCCUAUGCUGAAUUUUGAAGUAUUUGUUGUACUUACAUUGUUGUUAUCAGCACCUGCAGCUUCAUAAUUGCAGCAAAAAAAAAUGUCUCUACUGCAAGUUGUCUUUCUGUUGCUAUCAGUGUCUGUACUCAGCAAUCAAAACUUUGUACUACGUGAUUUGCAUGUUCAAGAACGAUCUAAAUUUCCGUAUAUUUUUAAGGCAGAUUUUAUUUCGGAUGAAAACCUAAAAUGUACAUGAAAAUUAGUUCUGGGCUCACAUUAGCGAUAUGUACAUAUAGGUAAAGGAAGAACAAUUGUAAAAUUCAGAUUUCAUAUAUUACAUGUCUUAAUUGAACCAGAGUCCAGAAACAGGACCAUAAUAAGCUGAACAGAAACAAAUGAUUCUGAAUCUGAAUGAACAAGCAUGCCAAGAAGAGAAGAGACCUGUGAACCUCUCUUGUUCUCGAGGUGGGUGCUCCAUUCCCGCCAGCCAUGGUCUACCUUGAGUGAUUCUUCCGCCCAUCACGAUCACGAUGCCUCCAACGGCCGGCUCCUGCGCCCUCCUUCCUUGGCGGAGCAUCUAGGCGACGCGCCGCCCAAUGUCGUGGUGCCCCCACCCGCGACUUGACGGCUGCGGCGAAAGGACGUGGCCGGCGGCGCGUAGAAGGCCGCCGGAUUCCCAUAAAAAAGAAGCGUGCGGCAGCAGCGCAUCUCCGCCGGUCGCCGGAGAGGGAAGGGGAAAGGCUUCGAAGAAAAAAGGGUAGCGGGGAUGAUACUUGAGCCGGUCUUUCUACGCUCUUGUACAAGGCGACCAAAAAGAGCAAAAUGCACCGUAGCUUGUAAAACUACGAA
rnacentral:lncRNA from 1 species